ensembl:lncRNA
CUCAAGUGUCCAACGCUGACCGAGAAGUGGACGUAGUCCUCAUGUCUCCUGUCAGUGUGCAGACGGAAGCCUCGAGCUGAGAGACACUCGCAGCCUUUUGAAGCCAUUUAUUUUCUUAACGUGACAAUUGUGUUUGUUAUCAUCUCAACGUGCUGAGGUUGUCAAACUGGUUUACAACAGUUAGAGUGUGUGUGUGUGUCUCUCUGUGUGACGCUGAUUCAAAGUGAGAGCUUCUUGAUUGCAUCAACCCUCCAUGGAAUUAUUAACACACACACGCACACACACACACACACACACACACACACACACACACACACACACACACGUGAGUAAUUGAACGACUUCACGAUACGUAACACGAUGCAGUCGAGCACUUUAACACUUUUCUCUACAAAUAUGAAUUUGUGCAGAUGAGGCCGAGCGAAAGAUGAAUGAGCUCGUUUGUGUUUGAAGGUUGUUUCACCCUGAAAAGUUUUUAAAAAGCUGCCGGCUCUUUGAAGAGGAAGCCCGGGGGGGGAAACAAGUCAACAACAGUUUCAGGUUAAAAUACGAGGUAAAACAUCCUUAAUCAUAAAUGAUUCUGACUUUAAACUCAUCUGGACAGAACGCUACAUGUUGCUUUAUGCGAGGGAGGAAAGAACCUUGAAGGAACAAUCACUGGUCCUCUCUUCUGUGAACAACGAGCGCACGAUCCCACUUUCAGUGCCAGUGGUUUCAGGAGCUGCUAGGCCAAGCUAAGCUAAGCUAAGCUAGCUGCAUGUCCUGAACCUGUCUCUGUCCAAUGAGGGAAGGAAUACACAGAAACACUCACACCAAUGGAGCCUGUUGGCAUGGAUCAGGAUCGGGAUCAGGAUCAGAGUCAGGAUCAGGAUCAGGAUCAAGAUCAGGGUCAGUGUCAAGAUCAGGAUCAGGAUCAGGAUCAGGGUCAGGAUCAGGAUCAGGAUCAGGAUCAGAGUCAGGAUCAGGAUCAGUGUCAGGAUCAGGAUCAAGAUCAGGAUCAGAGUCAGGAUCAGGAUCAGUGUCAGGAUCAGAAUCAAGAUCAGGGUCAGGAUAAGGAUCAGGAUAAGGGUCAGGAUCAGGAUAAGGCUCAGGGUCAAGAUAAGGAUCAGGAUAAGGGUCAGGAUCAGGAUCAGGAUAAGGAUAAGGAUCAGGAUCAGGGUCAGGAUCAGGAUCAGGAUCAGUGUCAGGAUCAGGAUCAAGAUCAGGGUCAGGAUAUGGAUCAGGAUAAGGAUCAGGAUAAGGGUCAGGAUCAGGAUAUGGAUCAGGAUCAGGGUCAGGAUCAGGAUCAGGAUCAAGAUAACGAUCAGGAUCAGGGUCAGGAUCAGUGUCAGGAUAAGGAUCAGGGUGAGGAUCAAGGUCAGGAUCAGGGUCAGGGUUACACAUGAGGAUGUUAUAAGCUGAAGACGAGCAGCAUGUCCUCACACAAACAACCGUCUCACUGCUUCUAGAAGACUGGAUGGAAAUAAUACGAUAACCAAGAUGAUCUCAGUGAAAACAACCACUGCUUUGUGUGGAGACGAGUCCCUCAGGGGGGGGGGGUCAGGGUGAAUUUAGAGGGCGGAGUCCUUCGUCAGGUGGUCCUUCUGUGUUUAAAGGGGCCGAGGCUGCUGGGAAGAAACCGAGGGGGACAAACAGUUCAUUAUUCUAAUUUCCUCAUAAUGACUUCAUGGUUGAUGCAUCACCAUCUGGAACACACACACACACACACACACACACACACACACUGUGAUAAUGCAGCCAUUGAGUCUAAUGACAACGCACCGCUUGUCGUAAUGAGACUCUUUCUGCCGCGAAGCAUCAUGGGUAAACAGCUUGCACCUUUUGGAGGGAGGAGUCGACCGGACGUCGGGUUGCCAGAUAGUAAAUGGAGAGGGCGCCGCGUUGCCAGGUCCUCGGUGACACCCGACCUGUUCAGUGUUGAGUUUGAAUCAGCACGGUGAAUCAGGCCGAGUGUGUUGGUGCGUGUGUGUGUGUAAGUGUGUGUAUGUGUGUGUGUGUAAGUGUGCGCCGUGCUCAGACAGAGGCACUCGAGCUAAAUUGCCCCCCCGGUGCCCACAAUGCCUCUGGAGCUGGCAGUAGUGUCUGAGUGCGUCUGUCUGUGUGUUUAGACCUCACGAUGCCGCGCUGCAACAAACAGCUGCUUCGCUGUGACCCCUUCUGUCGUCUCCACGGCAACCGGCGGGGGGGACGGCGACCGUUGCAAAAAGAUAGGCAACUUUGGACGCGGCGGAUCCACAGGGGGACGACAGCUUUGCGUUAUUCAUAAAACCUUUACUGGGAUGACGACUUGCCGAGCAGAGGAGUGAUUACCUGAACCUCCGGUUCUGUAGAGAGAGCCUUGCAUUCUAUGUAGUGACCAGCAGGGGGCGCCACCUCGGGUCAGAAGUUUAUGAGAAAAUGACUCUUAUAUUAUUAUGUCCUCAGUGAAGAUUGUAAACAUGAGUUUAUGGUCUCAGUCCUACAUACAUCCAGCAUGAUGUUCAUUUGGUGAGUUAUGGUCCAUUUAGAGUCAAACACACCAUAAAGCAGGGGACGCUUUAGGGCGGGGCUACCUGCUGAUUGACAGGUCUCCACUUCUCUCAACCUCACUUUUGUUCAUUGGUGGCAAAACAUAUGAUAUCAAGUUUACAUCCCUAUCUGACGUCCACAGGCAUAACACAUGUAUGUUAACAUGACAGAACGUAACAUAACACAUAUAUGUUAACAUGACAGAACGUAACAUAACACAUGUAUGUUAACAUAACAGAACGUAACAUAACACAUGUAUGUUAACAUGACAGAACGUAACAUAACACAUAUAUGUUAACAUGACCGCUGGUUUAAUAACUUGACAGAAGGCGGAACACAUGUUUCUCUUUUCUCCAGUUAUUUCUGAAUGAAUGUUGUUCACCUUCAUCACUGUGUCGUUUGUAAAAAAAACUAUGAUUUAUUCCUUUCAGUUGCGUCAUCUUUUGUUGAGAGAGAGGGAGAGAGUGAGGGAGGGAGAGAGACAGAGAUCCCCCCCCCCCCCCCCUCAUCUUCCCCUCUGCUGGACUCCACCCGCCUCCAAGGGCCCUGAAGGCGGAAGCAAAUGAACAAACUAAACGCACCAUCUGAGCCCAGAGCAGCCGGGGGGAGCGCUUCAUUCAUGCUACAGAGCCUCCCCGUUUAACCCAGCACAGCCCUGUAGCACACAGAUGUUUACUACUCUGCAUCGACAUCCACUUGUGUUUAUAAAGAAAGAGAUGAAACGUGUCGGUUUAAAGUAUCGUACACAUGUUCUGUUCAUAAAGGGACUUUGUCUACAAUAUGUCUUAAAUGAAACAUUUCUGCAACAAAAUGAUCCCAGACCUCUAAACUUGUUUCCGAUGACCUUUUUAGUUUGGCUUGACUCUUCAAGGUCCUGGUCUUGAAAUACUUUAGUCUUGUUCUUGAUAGACUCUGGUCUUGGUCUUGAUAGAUUUUACUCUUGUUCUUGAUAGACUCUGGUCUUGGUCUUGAUAGACUUUAGUCUUGUUCUUGAUAGACUCUGGUCUUGGUCUUGAUAAACUCUGGUCUUGGUCUUGAUAGACUUUAGUCUUGUUCUUGAUAGACUCAGGUCUUGUUCUUGAUAGACUCUGGUCUUGGUCUUGAUAAACUCUGGUCUUGGUCUUGAUAGACUUUAGUCCUAGUCUUGAUAGACUUUAGUUUUGUUCUUGAUAGACUCUGGUCUUGGUCUUGAUAGACUUUAGUCCUGGUCUUGAUAGACUUUAGUCUUGUUCUUGAUAGACUCUGGUCUUGGUCUUGAUAGACUUUAGUCCUGGUCUUGAUAGACUCAGGUCUUGGUCUUGAUAGACUUUAGUUUUGUUCUUGAUAGACUCAGGUCUUGUUCUUGAUAGACUCUGGUCUUGGUCUUGAUAGACUUUAGUUUUGUUCUUGAUAGACUCUGGUCUUGGUCUUGAUUGACUUUAGUCCUGGUCUUGAUAGACUUUAGUCUUGUUCUUGAUAGACUCUGGUCUUGGUCUUGAUAGACUUUAGUCCUGGUCUUGAUAGACUCAGGUCUUGGUCUUGAUAGACUUUAGUUUUGUUCUUGAUAGACUGUGGUCUUGGUCUUGAUAGACUGUGGUCUUGGUCUUGAUAAACUCUGGUCUUGGUCUUGAUAGACUUUUUCUUGGUCUUGAUUUGAUUAGUACCCCUGGAAGUCUUGGUCUUGCCGUUAUCGACCCCUCAUAGUCUUGGUCUUAGGAGAAUCUGGUCUCUUGGUCUUGACUUGAUAUCUACCCCUUGAAUCCUGCAACACCCUCUUUUCUACCUGGCCGGCCUGAAUCCUCGCCCCCCCAAACUGUUCCUGCUCCUCCAGAGGUACUCAUGACUGCUUCGCGUGCCAGCGGACUCACGUAUCACAGCUACGAUAAACCC